rnacentral:sRNA from 1 species
CACGUCAGUCUCUACCAACGCCGUGUAGGUCAGCUUUAACUACCGCCUCGACGCCUUUCUUGCGCUAGACCAGCUGGUGGAAGGCGUGUACAAGUCAUCAGGAAACUUCAUGGUCCAGCAGUUGGCGUUGCUUAGGGUCCAAGACAACAUUGGCAGUUUGGGAGGAAACAAAUACUUGGUGACGAUAUUUGAAUAUGGCUCAGGAGCAUCGUCUGUGGAGGCGCUGUUGUUGUCUUCUGAAAGUAUUGUGUUUUUCCAUAGAGCCCAGGUUCACCAGUCAGGUGGCUUUACUUAACAAGACUUUAGCCGAGGCAUGCCACCACAACCGCCCCUUCCUAGAGGAGUCUGAAUGCUGUGAUACCAGCUGUCUUCGUAAACUCAGCCCCACCCAGUUCUCCACUUGGUCUCUUGAGCCACAGUCGAUGACAUUUUGCAUAUUUCACGAAAUGGGGAUGUGGAGAAAUGAUCUGGCUAUAUUUGAAGGUGCAACCUACUUUGACCUUUGACCUGAGCAGCCUCCUGGCAGAGGAAACGAUGCUUAACUUGACCUGGGAGGAAUAUGACACAACUAUUGACUUGUACUCUGUCUUACUGGGUGAACAGCUUCCAGAAAUCGAGGCGCUUUAUCCACACAACAUCUCUGUGUCCUAUUACGGUCCUGAGCACUUGCCUCCUCUACCGAGCGCUUAGCUCGCCAACCUGCUCAGCGAUGUCAAGUCUGUCUGCCCCUUGAAAGAUCUGGUUGACGCCUUCACAACUAUGGCCGGCAACUCUGCUUCGAUAUAUCUAGACAUGGCUGAGAUAUUCCCUGCCCACACUAUGGUGCUCUUGCACAUUCUUCGGCUGAGACGUCUCUGCCUUCUUCGGAAAUUUCCGCGACCUUGACUUUCUCGAGGGGUCAAGGUGACGUCAACUUUGGGAAUGCGCUGAAACAAAGUAUCAUGAGCUUCGUCAGGACGGGGCGGCCCAGUGCGCAAACCUUACGACAGGAAGCACCAACAUUUCAGUCGCACCCGCACUUGACAAUAACUUCAUCAAAUGCGAAUUGUGGAGAAGAUUGGGAUACUUAGAAUACUCUUGGUCGAAAUGAAGAGUUUAACCCAGAGAAAAAGAAGGCAGAUUCACAAAUAUUGCUAAUGUAAUGUCUUCAAGCCACUAUGGUCCCCAAAAUCAAAACACAUGAUCGGACGAAUUGCGUGUGUAUUUUGUAGAUGGUUAAAGGGAAACAACUCAGCUAAUAAAAUUGUUAAUACUGAUUUUAUAAGUAAUACCGAUGUUGAAGGGGCAGAUGCCAAUUAACAUAUUGAAAUAAAUUCCAGAGGUAUAUAUCAGAAAAUUAUAAUAGGCCUACUUACUUUCAUUAUAUUCUCAAUGAAAUGAAUUGACUUACAUUUUGCCUUCAUUGUGACUGUGCAGAUUCUAACUAACAGAGGAAGCAUGAGGCUUUCCAGUCUACGUAAUCUACAGUGAAAAAUAUCUUUCUUUCUAAUGCCUCUGAAAAAGUUGAGACGGCUAAAAGUGUUUAAUGUUGACAUGUUUACAGUACAUUAUAAUACCUAAGCUCAAAGGAUCACUAUAUUUAACAUACAUAUAUAGUGGUAGUGAAAGGCCACCUAUGGAUUGGUCAUUGGAUAUAAAUGUGAUGACCGCAAGUUUAUGAGGACUUAAAUUUGUGUUCUUUUUUCGGUAUUUAUCCAUCACUAAAUGUGUCUGUCUAUAAAUAUGAAUGCUAUCUAAUUAUGAGAAUUGUUAGUGUCGGGUAUUACAUGUUAUACUGUAACUAAAUGUGUUAAUAUAUAUUGAUGAAAACUCCGAUACAUUUCAAAACGUGUGUAUGUAUUAGAAUGUGGAUUUUUAAAAAAAAACUGUCCUACACAGGUUUGGGGUGUGCUAUUGUGUUGUGUUGGGAAAUCAGUUUUAUUGCAUUAUCAAAUAUUUGUUUAAUGAUUUCAAAUGGGCAAACUUUAAAGUAUUCGCAAAUUAUGCAUAGCCAGCAUAAAAUAUACAUAGUGUAAAUAAUGUUUUCGAUGUGAUAAAUGACAAUUAAGUGUAAUUUUCUUUGAAAACAUGCAUAUAUGUAAAAUACUUGAACCUUAGGAUUUAUAUUAAAUCCGAGGAAAAUAAUUAACUGAAAAACAACAUUGCAGUCAAUAUUAAAAAAUCUAACAGUGUUCGAUAUCUAUCAUUAUCCAGUAUUCUAUCAUUAAUCAGUAUUCCAUCAGUGUUCUAUGUUCAGCCAUUGUUAGAUAUUCUUUUAUUGUUGAGUAUUCUGUCUUUGCCCUCUGUAUAUUGUCAUAAAGUUUAUAAGUAAAGUUUUAAUCAAGAGAUCUUGUGACCUUGGCAUUGGCUUAAUCAGUGUCUGCAUGUACACUGAGUUUUCUAGUUUUUCUUUGCUGGUGAGUUCCUGUCUAGUUUUUCUUUUUUUACCAUGGUAGCUGUAUGUCUCGAGCAUCACUCUCUUUAACUUAUAAUUAUCAAAUAAAUCAAAAAUAAAUUAUUACAAUAAUUA